rnacentral:rRNA from 1 species
UACGAAGGGGGCUAGCGUUGUUCGGAUUUACUGGGCGUAAAGGGCUCGUAGGCGGCCAACUAAGUCGGAUGUGAAAUCCCCAGGCUCAACCUGGGAACUGCAUCCGAUACUGGAUGGCUUGAAUCCGGGAGAGGGAUGCAGAAUUCCAGGUGUAGCGGUGAAAUGCGUAGAUAUCUGGAGGAAUACCGGUGGCGAAGGCGGCAUCCUGGACCGGCAUUGACGCUGAGGAGCGAAAGCUAGGGGAGCAAACGGG